ACUAUUUGGUUUAGUGGUAGAAUGCUGGAUUCUUAAUUCCAGUGGUUAGGGUUCGAUCCCUUACAACCUCAAGUA